AGAAGGCGCCGGGGCAAGCGGCCUGUUGGCGCCCAGUUUCAGCUGGCUGUUCCCGCUAGCAUCAGGGCUCGAUCGUAGAGGACGCGGCAGCCGCAGCUCGCGGAGAACAGCGGGCAGAGCUGUGGGCUGCACGCGCCCCUGCAGCCACCGGGCGUCCCGCAGAGGCUCCCGCGCCCUGCGGCGACUUCCGCCCCCGCGCUCCCCUUUGUCCGAGUCCCCAAGCGGCGGCGGCGGGGUAGGAGCCCACGCCGUGGGCGACUGAGGCGGCGGCAGUCCGCGUCCCGGCGCCCUGGAGAUGCCGGACCAGAUCUCCGUGUCGGAAUUCGUGGCCGAGACCCUUGAGGACUACAAGGCGCCCACGGCCUCUAGCUUCACCACGGGCACGGCCCAGUGCCGGAACACCAUGGCGGCCAUCGAGGAGGUUUAGUCUCCACUGCCAGCUGCCAUGGGCAAGCAGAACAGCAAACUGGGUCCUGAGGUGCUGCAGGACCUGCGGAAAACAGGGAGUUCACCCACCAUGAGCUUCAGGAGUGGUACAAGGGCUUCCUCAAUGACUGUCCCACUGGCCACCUGACUGUGGACAAUUUCAAGAUCUAGGCCAACUUCUUCCCCUACAGAGAUUCCUCCAAGUUUGCUGAACAUGUCUUCCACACCUUUGACACCAACAGCGACAGCACCAUCGACUUUCAAGAGUUCAUCAUUGCUCUGAUCAUGACCUCUCGGGGCAAGCUGGAACAGAAGCUCAAGUGGGCCUUCAGAAUGUCUGAACUAGACAGCAAUAGCUACUUCAGCUGCAGUGAAAUGCUGGAGAUAGUGCAGGUACCUGCACUUGACAGGGCCUGGAGCAUGGGGAGUGCAGGGACCCAGGACCCCUAUCCCCGACCCCAUACACCAGGUCAUUCCUCUGCCCACUUGCUACCUGCUGUAUUAAAGGACUGGAGGUCUUUGCAGCGAGGAAUGAUAAAAGCCAAGCAUCUAUCGAUUGCUUGCUGGACAUCAGGCCCCAGCUGAGCUCAUCCAUCAGGCAAAAUGUCCCUGGAAGAAUUCAACAAAGGUGCCAAGAGUGACCCAUCCAUUGUCUGGUUGCUGCAGUGUGAUCCCAGCAGUGCUAGCCAGUUCUCAGGGGAAUGGGCUUUUACACAGUUGUGAGAAGCACAGUCUUGACCUGCCAUCUUCAGCUUUGCUUGCAAAAGUGGAUUUCUCCGUGAUUUCUCCUGCUCUCUCGGGACCUGGGUCCAGACAGCACAUCACACUCACCUGGUCUAGCUGGAUUCAGCUCCCUCCUCUAUCUGACCCAAUAGAUGUCCGUCCCCAUCCAGUCCAGGCUGGUUCCUUCCAAGGUUUCAAGUGUUCUCAGCUGUAGGGCUCCUUCCCUCCCCACGGAGGGCCUGGAGGCCCUUAAGGACACCAGACAGGACUUUUCAGUAUCUUACCGAGACCAGCUGAUUUAUUCUAUGAUCCCAGCUGACUUUGUGAGCAUGAAGAAGAUGGAGAGUAGAUAGGCAAGCCCUUCCUGUUCAUGGCUCCACCUCCCUUGUUCAUUUUCUCCAACCACAGCUGCUUGCAUGUAUAUACCGUGGUAUCCUUACUUUUAAUAUAUAAGUUUUGUAUAAAGUGAGAAGUUUCAGCCCCUGUAUUUAAAGCCUCUGACUGCCUUUAAAGCAUGGUCCCCUGUGGCUUGUGAUUCUCCCCACCCCCAAAUCUAGCUGUGCUGUGGUAUUUAAGUAUUCAUUUGCCUAAUUAUACAGGAUAUACAUGCAUGCCCAAGGCUGUGGACAUCUGCCCUCCGUCCUGCAAAUACAGGUUUUCUUGGGUGCUCCAUCCUUCCUUUCCAUUGACCUGGAAUAUUAAAAUGGUCAAAUAAACCAA
rnacentral:lncRNA from 1 species